CCUUCAGUAGUAUCUCCCCAGUAGUGCAGUGGGCUACAGAACUUUUUCUGCUCACUUAGUAUUCCUAAGAUGACACAUUUUGUAAAUUGUUGCUUAGUAAGUACCAUCACAAGUUGCAAGUAGUCUAUUGGAAUUUUGUUAAAAUGUGUGGCUUCAGAACAGAAUCAAAUUUACAAAAGUUUUUCUGGAGUAGGACUCUAGUUCUAUUUCAUUAUUUUUUGCAAACAGAGCCAUGAUUAAGAGGGAUGGCCCAGGGCAUUUGUGUUGUGCCACUAGGGGUGAAAUUUUUGGAUCAGCACAAGACAGCCUAGAGUGAAAGCAUUUGCCAAGCAUGUUUUCAUUAAUCAAGAAUGAAAGUCUGAGGUUUGAAAAUGAUCAGACACCGUUGUAGUUCCAACCAUAAAAGAUGCCGACUGGUGAGGUUUUUUUUGAGGAGUCUCUGUGGAACAAUGGUUGGU
rnacentral:ncRNA from 1 species